rnacentral:rRNA from 1 species
GACGAACGCUGGCGGCGUGCUUAACACAUGCAAGUCGAACGGAAAGGCCCUGCUUUUGUGGGGUGCUCGAGUGGCGAACGGGUGAGUAACACGUGAGUAACCUGUCCUUGACUUUGGGAUAACUUCAGGAAACUGGGGCUAAUACCGGAUAGGAGCUCCUGCUGCAUGGUGGGGGUUGGAGAGUUUCGGCGGUUGGGGAUGGAAUCGCGGCUUAUCAGCUUGUUGGUGGGGUAGUGGCUUACCAAGGCUUUGACGGGUAGCCGGCCUGAGAGGGUGACCGGCCACAUUGGGACUGAGAUACGGCCCAGACUCCUACGGGAGGCAGCAGUGAGGAAUAUUGCACAAUGGGCGGAAGCCGGAUGCAGCAACGCCGCGUGCGGGAUGACGGCCUUCGGGUUGUAAACCGCUUUCGCCUGUGACGAAGCGUGAGUGACGGUAAUGGGUAAAGAAGCACCGGCUAACUACGUG